rnacentral:rRNA from 1 species
AACAGGAUUAGAUAGCCUGGUAGUCCAUGCCGUAAACGUUGGGAACUAGAUGUAGGGGCCAUUCCACGGUUUCUGUGUCGCAGCUAACGCAUUAAGUUCCCCGCCUGGGGAGUACGGCCGCAAGGCUAAAACUCAAAGGAAUUGACGGGGGCCCGCACAAGCGGCGGAGCAUGCGGAUUAAUUCGAGGCAACGCGAAGAACCUUACCAAGGCUUGACAUAUACCGGAAAAGGCUAGAAAUAGUCUCCCCGCAAGGUCGGUAUACAGGUGGUGCAUGGUUGUCGUCAGCUCGUGUCGUGAGAUGUUGGGUUAAGUCCCGCAACGAGCGCAACCCUCGUUCUAUGUUGCCAGCACGUAAUGGUGGGAACUCAUAGGAGACUGCCGGGGUCAACUCGGAGGAAGGUGGGGAUGACGUCAAAUCAUCAUGCCCCUUAUGUCUUGGGCUUCACGCAUGCUACAAUGGCCGGUACAAAGGGCUGCAAUACCGUAAGGUGGAGCGAAUCCCAAAAAGCCGGUCUCAGUUCGGAUUGAGGUCUGCAACUCGACCUCAUGAAGUCGGAGUCGCUAGUAAUCGCAGAUCAGCAACGCUGCGGUGAAUACGUUCCCGGGUCUUGUACACACCG